UUCGCAAUGCCCGAAAGGGUGAACGAGCGACGCCGUGUGCGGGAUGAAGGGUUUCGGCUUGUAAACCGCUUUUCUUUGGGAAGAAGGUCUGUCUCGUGCAGAUGGGCUCGACGGUACCAGAGGAAUAAGCCUCGGCUAACUCCGUGCCAGCAGCCGCGGUAAGACGGAGGAGGCAAGCGUUGCUCGGAAUCACUGGGCUUAAAGCGCGUGUAGGCGGAUGGGAACGUCGGCCUUUGAAAGCCCCCGGCUCAACCGGGGAAGGGGAGCCGAAACGACCGAUCUGGAGGGACGUAGGGGGACCUGGAACUUCCGGUGGAGCGGUGAAAUGCGUUGAGAUCGGAAGGAACGCCCGUGGCGAAAGCGAGGUCCUGGACGUCUGCUGACGCUGAGACGCGAAAGCUAGGGGAGCAAACGGGAUUAGAUACCCCGGUAGUCCUAGCCGUAAACGAUGGGCACUAAGUAGAGGGGUUUU
rnacentral:rRNA from 1 species